CGUGCACAGCCUAGAAACGAGGAGUCGAUGGGUACAUCACAGCAUCGGAUCUAGCUCCUUGGGACAUCAUCAUGCUGAACCCCAGGGCCAGUGUUUCUAUCUAGGAAGCUACAACCUCAUCUCAGACUUGAAGCAGAAAAAUUCUAGAUGGCCACGCACAUGAAACCUCAGGUGAAGCAGUCUCUACAAGCUGGCACUGUGUCCCCCUCAAGAAGCCACCUCCUGCUGGAACCCUGCUUGGUGCCGUUCUGAAUGAUGCCCCUUUUCAGCCUGAAGCAGCCAGAGCAGUCACUGUGCAGUUCCCCUAACAGAAGUCAGGGGCCAUUCUUCUGGGGGCAGGAAGGACUCUGAGGAGUCAGAUGAGUUAAUAGGUAGUCAGGGUGGUCCCAGUGGAAAUUGAGGGUACAAAGCUUUAGCAAGACCAAAAGUGCCUGCCUGCCCUACUCCUUGAAAAUUUCCAAUCUUAUCAUGAGAGUAGCAAGGGAAUGGGGAUGCCUUCUGAGCACCCAGUUUCCUAUACAGCAAAUUAAGUACCCCCCCCCUUCUGAUGGCUCUUUUUUUUUUUUUUUCAAGAUGGAGAGAAUGAAAGAUUGCAAACCAGGUCUUUUGGUGGGCUUUGUCUCCACCUUGUAACUGAAUGUCUAGAUUUUUCUUCCCAGAAUUGUGCUUAAAACCCCAGUACCAUGGGCCUCUUUGGGUUUUUCCUCUCUUGGAGCCCCAUGUCUGUGCCACUCUGGCUGGAGGUCUCUCACUUUAACAAAUAUUGCUUUUAAAUAUAUAUAUAUAUAAAAAAACAUGUGAAAGGGUGGUGUUGUGGCACAGCAGGUAAAACUGCCGCCUGGAAGGUUGACAUCCCAUUCGGGCGCCAGUUUGAGCCCCAGCUACUCCACUUCCUAUCCAUCUCCCAACUAAUGGCCUGGGAAAGCAGUACAAGAUGGCCUGAAUGCUUGGGCUCCUGCCACCCAUGUGGGAGACCAGGAUAAAGCUUCUGGCUCCUGGUUCCAGCGUGGCCCAGUCCUGGCCAUUGCAGUCAUGUGGGGAGUGAACAAGAAGAUGGAAGAUCUUUCUGUCUCUCCCACAGUCUCUCUCUAUAUAUAUAGCUCAAAUAACAAACCAAGAGAAACCUUAAUAAAAAAAUCCUUGGUACUCUACCUCUCAAAUCCAGCAGGAUGCUGUCACAAAAUAGUCAAAACAAACGAGAGAGGCCCAAUCACAGAAAGAGGAGGAAGUCAGAGUGAUUCUGCCCCACUGUCAACAGGGAGCCCCUCUACUUGAGUGGUGACACCAGAUGGACCAGGAACAGGAAGGGAGGAGCUGCCAGUGUGUUGGGUUGCAGGGAAAAUGCACUCUGUGCUCUGAGACUGGGAACCUGGCUUGCCUGCCCCACUGCCUUGGCUGUGUCCCCCAAAACCUAUCUGUCACAGGAUGAAUUGUGUCUCCCAAUUCCCUUUGUUGGAGCCCUAACUCCAAUGUGGCCAUAUGCAAAUACAGGGCCUCUGUGGAGGAAUCAGGGUUAAAGGAGGGAAUGAAGGAGGUGGGGGAGGUGUCCGGACCCAGUAGGAUGGCUCUUCUACAAGAAGAGAAGCCAGUGCUCUACCACCCACUCCACACACAGAGGGAAAGGCUGGUGAGGUCAGCAGCAGAUGAUGACACACAGACAAGAGGAUGCUAACAAAGGAACACAGACCCCUCUGCAUCCUGACAUUGAACUCACUAGCCUCCAGAAUUGUGAGAAGUUAACUUCUGUUGCCUAAGCGGCCCUGCCCAGGGUGUGUUGGUACCCAAGGCAGUCCUCACAGAGCCAUACACCUUCCUGACCCUCUCUAAGCAGGAUCAGCCUCAACAGGCACUCGUGCCUUGGGAAACCCAGACUGGCUCCUCAUUUUCAUGCUGCUCUGACCCUGGGGAGGAAGGGAGAGGCAGGUUUCAACCUCAGUGUGUGCUUACAUUAAACACAAAUAUUUCCUGGAAGAUGAGGUUGUUUGGCCUCCCCCACCCCCACCCCAUCAGAGCUGUGUAGAAUGGAAGGCCCUAUUUGCUUGGUAUUAAUGUUUGGGCAUGUAAGAUUGUUAAGGUGCUAGUGGGGACCUCACGUGGUCUCGGUAUCCUGCUCCCCUCCCCAGGACAGAAGGUCAUGGAUUGCUGCAGGGCCUUCCAGAAGAUUGACAGCAUCCCAGCCCUGCACCAGCAGAAACCAGGCCACCUCUCAGUGUCCUGCUGGCUCCCACUGCCCCAUAGACACACGGCCUGCCUGGGUCAGACUCCAGUUCUGGACAGACAUCACUCCAACCAUUACCAGCCAUGCUAACUUCGGGGCACCUUCACCUUUUCUUAUCCCCUGCAGACAUGCCACAGCUGCUGCUCCAGCCCAGGGCUGUUGCCAGGUCUGUGGCCUUCUCAGGGCAACAGGCUGGGGACAGCUCUGAAAUGGCAGCCCCUCUCCUCCUCCCACUACCACACCCCUCUUCUAUGAGCACCCACAGCGCAUCUGGUCUGCAGUGCUGAGUGACGGCAAACUCUAAUUGGACUGAGACAGCCUGUAGAAAGCUGAGAGACAUGUGGGGGCGCCACAUCCCCAGCCUGUGGGCAGGACACUGCCCCAGGAGUCUGUCAAGAAGUCUGGGAGGAUGAGCAGUGUGAGUGCUUCUUCCUUUGGGCGGCGGCAUCUCAUCCAUCACAUUGUUCACAAUCACCAGAGCGUGGCAAUUGAAAAGUUUUAGAGUUAAGUUGAAUUUCUGUGCCAAUUCACCCUGAGUGUCAGCAUUGUGUGGACUUCUCCUCCCCCUCUCGCUCGACAUGCUGCUAGGGGAACCCGGCCCACCAGCAUCUCCAGGACCGAAUGGCAGAGAUGUGGGCGAGAGCAAUGUGGACUCACCCAGCUGCUUCAGAUGCCUUCUCUGCAUGAAAGCCCAGGCAGAACAACAGAGAAGCCGCGCAAGCAACCCACAAGUCAUGGACUUAACGUCAUCCUUUCGAUCCUUUACCUGUUGGGGAGAUCUGUUACACUGUGAUAGAUAGUGGAAACAUCCACAAAUCAAUCCAUGCAACACAUCCUUGGAGAUCAUAACUUGGUUCCAGUCUCCUUCUGCCUUUCUCUGCACAAAGAACUGAGCUAAAGGUGAGCUAUUGAUUUUUCAACCUGGCCCUGCUUCCUAAGGUCAGUAAACCACGGAAUCUGAGGCUGUGGGCCUCUACCACACAGUCCCUUCACAGAUUGGAUGGUGCUCCCAGCGUGGAGCAGCUGUCUUGGUGACAGGGCAGCCAUCCCCAGCCCUCAAAGGCUGUCCUUGUUUGGGGACCUGACAGAGCACUGCAGGCAGUCACACAUCCCAAGUCUUCAGCUUCCACUCCAUUUAUGGCAAAGGGGGAAGACAAUAUCAAAGUCACUUCCCUGGACAUUGGAGGGGGUUUUUCCAAGAGCCUCCACAGUAGCCCUAAGAAUUAGCAGCCUGGGCGCCUCCUUAGGUCCCUAGCUCUCUGCUGCUUCUACAGGUGAUGGUCAUAGUCAUCUAGAGAUGCUGCCAGGAUCGCCAGAGACAGUGGAAGCACAAGCUGCCCCCUGCAGCAUGUGAGGAAACCCAUCCAGGCAAUGCCAUGUGUUGCUCCUCUCAAAGGGUGAGACUACAUUUGUCCUGUUCCUAUUAAGAACAAAGCCAACCUGAAACAUGACAGUAGGAACUCUGGGACUUCCCUGCUUUUCCUUUGUACAAGAAGCCAGAUAGAAAUGGCUGUCAAUGAUAUGCUCGGGCACAAUCUAUUAAAGGGGAGGUAGCGGAGCCCAGCCCCAGCUUGAGGGGCUGGUGGGCAAGUUCAUUCUUCAUAGACUGAACAGGAACCUUGUGAGGCUCUACAGAGGGAGUGGAC